UACGUAGGGUCCAAGCGUUGUCCGGAAUUAUUGGGCGUAAAGAGCUCGUAGGCGGUGUGUCGCGUCGGAUGUGAAAGCCCGGGGCUUAACUUCGGGUCUGCAUUCGGUACGGGCAUGCUGGAGUUCGGUAGGGGAGACUGGAAUUCCUGGUGUAGCGGUGAAAUGCGCAGAUAUCAGGAGGAACACCGGUGGCGAAGGCAAUCCCCUGGGCCUGCACUGACGCUCAUGCACGAAAGCGUGGGGAGCAAACAGG
rnacentral:rRNA from 1 species